UUUUGAAAAAGAGUUAAGAGGACGUGAAACCGGUGAGGUGGAAACGGAUAGAGUCGGCGUAUCUUGUAAGUAUUCAUUUACAUUCAGCUGUAUUUUUUAGCUUUGAGCUCCAGAUUGGGACAGAGUUGAAUUAUAUGAUUGUUUGUGAUGCAUUUACUUGCUUGGUGCGUGGGGAUUUCUGAGACAGAUUUGUAACCUUCAUUUUGAGGCCAGCUUGCUGGUACCCAAAUGUCGUUAGCAAUUUUUGUUUUAGUUGUAAAAAAAGUAUGGCUUUUCGUUCAUUACGUGGAUCGUUCUGGGUGUAAGUAACGGUCGCAUGCGACACGUGCUUUUCAAUUAGUUCGGUCUGUUUAAUGUUCUCAUACUUGUUCCCCAUGUAAAAGCCGGUCAUCUAUCCGACCCGUCUUGAAACACGGACCAAGGAGUUUAUCGUGUGCGCAAGUUUUUGGGUGUUUAAAACCUAAAGGCGAAAUGAAAGUAAAUGACUCUUCGAGUCUGAUGUGCGACCUUUCACUAUUUUGAAAAGUGCAGCAUGGCCCCAUUCUAACUGUUUACAGUAGGGUGGAGGAAGAGCGUACGCGGUGAGACCCGAAAGAUGGUGAACUAUUCCUGAGCAGGACGAAGCCAGAGGAAACUCUGGUGGAAGUCCGAAGCGGUUCUGACGUGCAAAUCGAUCGUCUGACUUGGGUAUAGGGGCGAAAGACUAAUCGAACCAUCUAGUAGCUGUUUUCCU
rnacentral:rRNA from 1 species